rnacentral:lncRNA from 1 species
UUCAAACACCUCAAUGAUAUACAAGAAAUGGCUCCAAAGCUCAACCAACUUAGCACAGGGGCAGCGCACAGGGGUACUAACAAACAGGUAAUCAAAUGGGAAUCCUGCUGUAUUAUUAACAAAAGAAUCAAGAACAAUCAACUUUUUUCUGCUAAUCCUGACCUUGUCUCUCUAUAUCUUGCCCUUCAGAUGGUUCAGGGAAAAUCUCCCUAGAAUACCGUCUGUGCGAGGAUGAAUGUUCACCGCCAUUUUGGCCACUUCCCCCAGAAUUUGAGGUUCCUGAAUGUUUAAGACUACUAGAUCCUUCUGGCCU